ensembl:lncRNA
AUGUGGGAUAACUAUGGGCAAGUUUUAUUAAUGUUACCAUUUAACUUUUCUGUGACCUGCCAAAUAAUUUUAAAGGGCAUGAACUUCAUGUGGAAUAAGCUGAGGCAGUGGCCAUUCAAGACCUACUCCUCAACUGACAUGGGCAAGACACUCAGGUCCCUGGAUGCACCAAACGGUUGGUUCCAGAGCAACCGCUCAGGAACUCAAAGACAUGCUUCCAUCAAGGAACUCAAAGACAUUUCCACAUUUCUUGUUUCAUUUUCUUGUUUUGUUUUAGUUUUUAAUGGACAGCCAAACAGCUCUUGCAAAUACAGUUACCAACUGUUGAGCACUUUUACUGGUAGCUUUUGGCAAACCAUUUAUUAAAAUUGGAGUCAUUUCACAUUUUGUUUGUGGGAAAAUCAUGCUACUUUAUAUGGCAUUAUUUAAUAGGCCAUAAGUGGCCAAAAGAGGAUGUGAUUUAUGACUCAUUAAAAAUGACCAAUUUUAUGUAUUCUUUUAUGUACUUGUUUUUAAAUUAUUCGUCUGGUUAAAAAGUGGCCUUCGCCACCUAUCAGAAAAGGACAUGUGCCAGUUUGUGGAUGCUGUAAAUAUUGUCCACUUGACAAGCACUGGACUGGAAUCAAAAACCUGUUGACUCGUAAGUGAAAUUUGAUUUCUACAAUUUCAUUCUCUCACAUAGAUCUUGCCGUUGUCACUCUAGCUAUUCACACCCAUUCCCACCUGCAUUCUAACUUGGAAAUAAAACAAAAGGGGAGAAAAGUAAAUCAUUAGGUGUAAACAAUAAAACAAUAUGACUUAUAAUUUUCCUUUCCCACCCCAACCUUUGAAUGUAUGUAGUUCUGUCUGAACCUCCUUCAGUGAGCUGUGUAGUGGUUGGCAUUUUUCAAUUUGAAGCCGUAAUGAAGAAAUGUAACUAUGACUAAUGCACGGCAGUUGCUUUGCUCUCUUCUGUCAUUUCCUUCCAAUCCAAGCAGGAAUAUCUACCAUGAUUUUUUUUUUAAAGAACACAAUGCAGCCUUUCAACCUGCUCUAUAUGCUACCAUGGCUGUUCAUUUCUAUCCUGCGGUAAACAACCAUUAUUUCUCUGCACAACCUCAAAUGAGAUUUAUAAAAGGGGAAGAGGUGAGCCGGUGGUUUAAAAGAAGAAGGAGGAUCAUUAGAGUGAUACAGCCAGCAAAUCCACAGCAGAGUUCCAGAGGGUAAAGAUUAUCAGGAAUUUGAAAUAAAUCUAUUUGGAAGGAAAAUAUAUGAGUCUCCCUGCCACCCAACACAAAGAUAUAUACACACAUUGCAGAAGACAAAGGAAGGCCAGCAAAGAACAUACCAAAUACAGAUAGGAAAAUGGAAGCUCCCAAAAGCUCUUCAGCAAUAAGUUUUUGGACAGGAAAAUUCAGGAAAAGAUGACAGGGAUGACUGCCCAUAAUGCAGUUGCAUACAUAUCAUAUGGAUGGGUUUUCAUCGGUCCUUUUCCUGGGUAUGCUAGUUUUUUGUUUUGGGAUUUCUUGCUCAACGUAAGUGUUCCCAUGUGAUUCUUCUUUCAGCAUCUAAUCUUUCAGAAAGUAGAAUUUCAGGAGGGUGGUAUUGCAUUCAUUUCAAAACUGUUCAAAUUUUUCCGGAAAGCCAGAAUAUUGUUCAAAGUACAUGUUCAGUUAUAUCUCUGUUAUCUAUGAUCGUUCCACCUAUUCCAGCACUGAAAUAUAGCAGUGGAUGCUGAUUCCAAGUAAGCUUUUGUUCAGCUCUGGUAGGUAUGAUAAUAGGUAUCAUCUAAAAUGCCAACUUAGAAACAACACAAUAACCAGAAUAAUGUACAUCAAGGAUAAUCAAAUUGGUCCCUUCACCUCCCAAGGCCAGCGGUAAUCUCUGAGUCACAUGUUGUCUGCCUUUUAAUGAUUCCAUCUUGAGAUGCCCAAAUGAUAGUGUUCCCAUGAUAUAGUACAGGAUCUUAGUAGAAAAGAAUUAAUGUGUUCAGACAAUCAUUAAUAAGCCAAUCCCCCUCACCUCUAGUUCAACUGCAAUUAGAUUGGGAGGGGAUUGAACUAGUAUACUUAUGUUAAGCUUGUAUUUAAAUUUAUGUUAAAUACCAGCAGUAAAAGACUAACCAGAAAAAAAAAUGACACCUAUGAUUUCACUAAGGUUGCAAUUCUUUGCUAAUGUUGCUCUGAAAUAAACCAAGGAAUCAUUUAGCAAUUCUUCUUGCUGUGAGAAAAUCUUUAAAAACACUGCAGUUUUGAAAAACGAUUCAUGUUUCAGACUAGUUUUCUACAAAAAUUGUAUGCAGUAUAUUUGUCUCCAGCAUUCAGGAACUUUUUCUGGGUGAAAUUUUCACAUGGGCAUUUUGCACAAGAAACAGAAUAACUUGUGCACUUUUCAGAAGAAGCUGCAUAAUUUGAAGAAAACUGAAGUUUUUUAGGGAAGCUACCCACCUUUUGUAGAAAAGCUGUGUAAUUUUCUGUCAUGGAGUGAGGAUGGUCAAAUCCCAUGUCAUGGAGGGAGGGGGGCAAAUCUCAAAGCUAAAAGAUGAAAAAACCACUGCUUCAUUGUUCUUGACAUCUGUUGGAACUUGGAGAAAUGGAGAUUUACCAUGCCUAAUAUAUGCACAAGUUAAAUGUAUGUAUAUGAGAGCAAUACCAUUUACUUCUACAAUGUAAGCUCUAUCAGGGAAAGAAAACAGCAGCUACAAGGCUAAAGAUGUAGAUAGGAGAACAUAGUUUCUACAUUGGAUUCAUAUUUAUUUUGAGGUGUUUUUUUUUCUUACAACAAGAAAUACUUUUUAAAGUUUCAAGAGGGUUACUGUAGCUGCAUCUACAUUGCCAAAUAAUGCAGUGUAGCUUUCGCUUUAGCCUGGUGCAUUCAUACAAUGUAUGCAGGCUAAUGUGAUUUAACCUGGGGUAAGGUGUUUA